rnacentral:rRNA from 1 species
UGGGGAAUAUUGGACAAUGGGGGCAACCCUGAUCCAGCAAUGCCGCGUGAGUGAUGAAGGCCUUCGGGUUGUAAAGCUCUUUUGCCAGGGACGAUGAUGACGGUACCUGGAGAAUAAGCCCCGGCUAACUUCGUGCCAGCAGCCGCGGUAAUACGAAGGGGGCAAGCGUUGUUCGGAAUUACUGGGCGUAAAGGGCGCGUAGGCGGCUUAUCAAGUCAGGCGUGAAAUUCCCGGGCUCAACCUGGGGGCUGCGCUUGAUACUGAUGAGCUUGAAUGCGGGAGAGGAUAGUGGAAUUCCCAGUGUAGAGGUGAAAUUCGUAGAUAUUGGGAAGAACACCAGUGGCGAAGGCGGCUAUCUGGCCCGUAAUUGACGCUGAGGCGCGAAAGCGUGGGGAGCAAACAGG